GAUGAACGCUGGCGGCGUGCCUAAUACAUGCAAGUCGAGCGAACAGAUAAGGGGCUUGCUCCUUUGACGUGAGCGGCGGACGGGUGAGUAACACGUGUGUAACCUACCUAUAAGACUGGGAUAAUUUCGGGAAACCGGAUCUUAUACCGGAGAAUAUUUCGAACCGCAUGGUUGGAUGGUGAGAGAUGGUUUUGCUAUCACUUAUAGAGGUACCCGCGCCGUAUUAGCUAGUUGGUAAGGUAACGGCUUACCAAGGCGACGAUACGUAGCCGACCUGAUGGGGUGAUCGGCCACACUGGAACUGAGACACGGUCCAGACUACUACGGGAGGCAGCAGUAGGGAAUCUUACGCAAUGGGCGAAAGCCUGACGGAGCAACGCCGCGUGAGUGAUGAAGGUCUUCGGAUCGUAAAACUCUGUUAUUAGGGAAGAACAUACGUGUAAGUAACUGUGCACGUCUUGACGGUACCUAAUCAGAAAGCAACGGCUAACUACGUG
rnacentral:rRNA from 1 species